rnacentral:rRNA from 1 species
GUCUACGACCAUGCCACCCUGAACAAGCCCAAUAUCUGAUCUCGGAAGCUAAGCAGGGUCCCGCCUGGUUAGUACUUGGAUGGGAGACCACCUAUAAAGACCAGGUACUGCAGGCA